rnacentral:rRNA from 1 species
CCUACGGGAGGCAGCAGUGGGGAAUAUUGCACAAUGGGGGAAACCCUGAUGCAGCGACGCCGCGUGAGUGAAGAAGUAAUUCGUUACGUAAAGCUCUAUCAGCAGGGAAGAAACACUGACCUUACGGUCAGCAGACGGUACCUGAGUAAGAAGCCCCGGCUAACUACGUGCCAGCAGCCGCGGUAAUACGUAGGGGGCAAGCGUUAUCCGGAUUUACUGGGUGUAAAGGGAGCGUAGACGGUGCGCCAAGUCUGGAGUGAAAUGCGGGGGCUCAACCCCCGGACUGCUCUGGAAACUGUACGGCUGGAGUGCAGGAGAGGUAAGUGGAAUUCCUAGUGUAGCGGUGAAAUGCGUAGAUAUUAGGAGGAACACCAGUGGCGAAGGCGGCUUACUGGACUGUAACUGACGUUGAGGCUCGAAAGCGUGGGGAGCAAACAGGAUUAGAUACCCCUGUAGUC